GAUGAACGCUGGCGGCGGGCCUAAUACAUGCAAGUCGAGCGAACAGACGAGGAGCUUGCUCCUCUGACGUUAGCGGCGGACGGGUGAGUAACACGAGGAUAACUGACCUAUAAGACUGGGAUAAGGUCGGGAAAGCUGAGCUAGUACCGGAUAAGAGAUUGAACGGCGUGGUUCAUUAGAGAAAAACGUAUUUGCUGUCACUUAGACAGGGAUCCGCGCCGCAUUAGCUAGUUGGUAAGGUAACGGCUUACCAAGGCAACGAUGCGUAGCCGACCUGAGAGGGUGAUCGGCCACACUGGAACUGAGACACGGUCCAGACUCCUACGGGAGGCAGCAGUAGGGAAUCUUCCGCAAUGGGCGAAAGCCUGACGGAGCAACGCCGCGUGAGUGAUGAAGGUCUUCGGAUCGUAAAACUCUGUUAGUAGGGAAGAACAAAUGUGUAAGUAAAUAUGCACGUCUUGACGGUACCUACACAGAAAGCCACGGCUAACUACGUG
rnacentral:rRNA from 1 species